rnacentral:rRNA from 1 species
CCUACGGGGGGCUGCAGUGGGGAAUAUUGGACAAUGGGGGCAACCCUGAUCCAGCCAUGCCGCGUGUGUGAAGAAGGCCCUCGGGUUGUAAAGCACUUUCAGUGAGGAAGAACGCCUGGUGGUUAAUAUCCAUCAGGAAAGACAUCACUCACAGAAGAAGCACCGGCUAACUCCGUGCCAGCAGCCGCGGUAAUACGGAGGGUGCGAGCGUUAAUCGGAAUUACUGGGCGUAAAGCGCGCGUAGGUGGCUUGAUAAGCCGGUUGUGAAAGCCCCGGGCUCAACCUGGGAACGGCAUCCGGAACUGUCAAGCUAGAGUGCAGGAGAGGAAGGUAGAAUUCCCGGUGUAGCGGUGAAAUGCGUAGAGAUCGGGAGGAAUACCAGUGGCGAAGGCGGCCUUCUGGACUGAAACUGACACUGAGGUGCGAAAGCGUGGGUAGCAAACAGGAUUAGAUACCCCGGUAGUC